GGCGGUAUUUGUAUACCCUGCACUGAAGCUUUGUAGGUGAAGCUUUGCAAGUGAAGCUUUUGAAGCUGGAGCUUUGUAAAUGAAGCUUUUGAAGUUGGAGCUCUCGAAGCUGGAGCUCUGUAAAUGAAGCUUUCGAAGUUGAUUGACAUGAGUGAUGCUCAUGAAUGUUGACAUGAGUGAUGCUCAUGAAUGUUGCCAUGAAUGAUGGUCAUGAAUGUUUAUGUAUGAUUGAUAUGAGUGAUGCUCAUGAAUGUUUAUGUAUGAUUGACAUGAGUGAUGCUCAUGUAUAAUUUUGGAGUACUGGACGUACUUUUGAUCACCUGGUUGAUUAUAAUAGCGGCAGGCUGCCGAAUAAUUUUGGAGUACUGGGUGCACUUUUGAUCACCUAGUUGGUGAUAAUAACGGCAGACUGCCGAAUAAUUUUGGAGUAUUGGGCGUACUUUUGAUCACCUGAUUAAGUAUGCUCGAGGGUAAGGAUUGCUUAAAUCUAUGUGAGUGGUGAUCUUUGGCAUGUCAUGUUUCAUUGAAAAUCCCUGAGUCAAAUGUUGGAAGGUCUAGGUUAUGUUUUGUUUGUUUCGUUUGUUUUGUUUUGCUCGAGGACUAGCAAAAGCUAAGUGUGGGGGAAUUUGAUAGGAGCAUAUUUAUGCGACUUGAUUAGCUUGUUUUCUUGCAUUUAUGUUGUUAGUUCAUAAUUAUUUUAGCAUUUUACACUAUUUUCGUGUGUUUGUAGGUCCUAAUAACAAAGUUGGCAAGAUAGUGCAUUUUGGAGCAAUUUUAGGCUGAAUUGGAUUGCAUGCAUAUGGAGCAAGUUGGAUGGA
rnacentral:lncRNA from 1 species